rnacentral:rRNA from 1 species
GGGUUGUGAGGUUAAGCGACUAAGCGUACACGGUGGAUGCCCUGGCAGUCAGAGGCGAUGAAGGGCGUGCUAAUCUGCGAUAAGCGCCGGUAAGGUGAUAUGAACCGUUAUAACCGGCGAUACCCGAAUGGGGAAACCCAGUGUGAUUCGUCACACUAUCAUUAACUGAAUCCAUAGGUUAAUGAGGCGAACCGGGGGAACUGAAACAUCUAAGUACCCCGAGGAAAAGAAAUCAACCGAGAUUCCCCCAGUAGCGGCGAGCGAACGGGGAGGAGCCCAGAGCCUGAAUCAGCAUGUGUGUUAGUGGAAGCGUCUGGAAAGGCGCGCGAUACAGGGUGACAGCCCCGUACACAAAAGCGCAUGUGCUGUGAGCUCGAUGAGUAGGGCGGGACACGUGGUAUCCUGUCUGAAUAUGGGGGGACCAUCCUCCAAGGCUAAAUACUCCUGACUGACCGAUAGUGAACCAGUACCGUGAGGGAAAGGCGAAAAGAACCCCGGCGAGGGGAGUGAAAAAGAACCUGAAACCGUGUACGUACAAGCAGUGGGAGCCCCACCACUAAGCCAGUGGUGAACUCCACAUACGCAUCCUUUGCUGAGGAUACGGUUAACGGAGCGAAAGCGACGUUCAACCGCAAAAGAAGCAGAGGGGGCUUAGUGGUGGGGUGACUGCGUACCUUUUGUAUAAUGGGUCAGCGACUUAUAUUCUGUAGCAAGGUUAACCGAAUAGGGGAGCCGGAGGGAAACCGAGUCUUAAUUGGGCGUUAAGUUGCAGGGUAUAGACCCGAAACCCGGUGAUCUAGCCAUGGGCAGGUUGAAGGUUGGGUAACACUAACUGGAGGACCGAACCGACUAAUGUUGAAAAAUUAGCGGAUGACCUGUGGCUGGGGGUGAAAGGCCAAUCAAACCGGGAGAUAGCUGGUUCUCCCCGAAAGCUAUUUAGGUAGCGCCUCGUGAAUUCAUCUCCGGGGGUAGAGCACUGUUUCGGCUAGGGGGCCAUCCCGGCUUACCAACCCGAUGCAAACUGCGAAUACCGGAGAAUGUUAUCACGGGAGACACACGGCGGGUGCUAACGUCCGUCGUGAAGAGGGAAACAACCCAGACCGCCAGCUAAGGUCCCAAAGUCAUGGUUAAGUGGGAAACGAUGUGGGAAGGCCCAGACAGCCAGGAUGUUGGCUUAGAAGCAGCCAUCAUUUAAAGAAAGCGUAAUAGCUCACUGGUCGAGUCGGCCUGCGCGGAAGAUGUAACGGGGCUAAACCAUGCACCGAAGCUGCGGCAGCGACACUGUGUGUUGUUGGGUAGGGGAGCGUUCUGUAAGCCUGUGAAGGUGUGUCGUGAGGCAUGCUGGAGGUAUCAGAAGUGCGAAUGCUGACAUAAGUAACGAUAAAGCGGGUGAAAAGCCCGCUCGCCGGAAGACCAAGGGUUCCUGUCCAACGUUAAUCGGGGCAGGGUGAGUCGACCCCUAAGGCGAGGCCGAAAGGCGUAGUCGAUGGGAAACGGGUUAAUAUUCCCGUACUUGGUGUUACUGCGAAGGGGGGACGGAGAAGGCUAUGUUGGCCGGGCGACGGUUGUCCCGGUUUAAGCGUGUAGGUGUGUGUUCCAGGUAAAUCCGGUUCACUUUAACACUGAGGCGUGACGACGAGGCACUACGGUGCUGAAGCAACAAAUGCCCUGCUUCCAGGAAAAGCCUCUAAGCAUCAGGUAACAUCAAAUCGUACCCCAAACCGACACAGGUGGUCAGGUAGAGAAUACCAAGGCGCUUGAGAGAACUCGGGUGAAGGAACUAGGCAAAAUGGUGCCGUAACUUCGGGAGAAGGCACGCUGACACGUAGGUGAAGUGAUUUACUCAUGGAGCUGAAGUCAGUCGAAGAUACCAGCUGGCUGCAACUGUUUAUUAAAAACACAGCACUGUGCAAACACGAAAGUGGACGUAUACGGUGUGACGCCUGCCCGGUGCCGGAAGGUUAAUUGAUGGGGUCAGCGCAAGCGAAGCUCCUGAUCGAAGCCCCGGUAAACGGCGGCCGUAACUAUAACGGUCCUAAGGUAGCGAAAUUCCUUGUCGGGUAAGUUCCGACCUGCACGAAUGGCGUAAUGAUGGCCAGGCUGUCUCCACCCGAGACUCAGUGAAAUUGAACUCGCUGUGAAGAUGCAGUGUACCCGCGGCAAGACGGAAAGACCCCGUGAACCUUUACUAUAGCUUGACACUGAACAUUGAGCCUUGAUGUGUAGGAUAGGUGGGAGGCUUUGAAGUGUGGACGCCAGUCUGCAUGGAGCCGACCUUGAAAUACCACCCUUUAAUGUUUGAUGUUCUAACGUGGACCCGUAAUCCGGGUUGCGGACAGUGUCUGGUGGGUAGUUUGACUGGGGCGGUCUCCUCCUAAAGAGUAACGGAGGAGCACGAAGGUUGGCUAAUCCUGGUCGGACAUCAGGAGGUUAGUGCAAUGGCAUAAGCCAGCUUGACUGCGAGCGUGACGGCGCGAGCAGGUGCGAAAGCAGGUCAUAGUGAUCCGGUGGUUCUGAAUGGAAGGGCCAUCGCUCAACGGAUAAAAGGUACUCCGGGGAUAACAGGCUGAUACCGCCCAAGAGUUCAUAUCGACGGCGGUGUUUGGCACCUCGAUGUCGGCUCAUCACAUCCUGGGGCUGAAGUAGGUCCCAAGGGUAUGGCUGUUCGCCAUUUAAAGUGGUACGCGAGCUGGGUUUAGAACGUCGUGAGACAGUUCGGUCCCUAUCUGCCGUGGGCGCUGGAGAACUGAGGGGGGCUGCUCCUAGUACGAGAGGACCGGAGUGGACGCAUCACUGGUGUUCGGGUUGUCAUGCCAAUGGCACUGCCCGGUAGCUAAAUGCGGAAGAGAUAAGUGCUGAAAGCAUCUAAGCACGAAACUUGCCCCGAGAUGAGUUCUCCCUGAGACUUAGAGUCUCCUGAAGGAACGUUGAAGACGACGACGUUGAUAGGCCGGGUGUGUAAGCGCAGCGAUGCGUUGAGCUAACCGGUACUAAUGAACCGUGAGGCUUAACCUUACAACGCCGAAG